GUGCCUAACACAUGCAAGUCGAACGGUAACAGGUCUUCGGAUGCUGACGAGUGGCGCACGGGUGAGUAACGCGUGGAUAUCUGCCUAUUAGUGGGGGACAACUUAUGGAAACGUAAGCUAAUACCGCAUAAUCCCUACGGGGGAAAGCAGGGGACCUUUCGGGGCCUUGUGCUGAUAGAUGAGUCCGCGUCUGAUUAGCUAGUUGGUAAGGUAAAGGCUUACCAAGGCGAUGAUCAGUAUCUGGUUUGAGAGGAUGAUCAGACACACUGGAACUGAGACACGGUCCAGACUCCUACGGGAGGCAGCAGUGGGGAAUAUUGCACAAUGGGCGCAAGCCUGAUGCAGCGACGCCGCGUGUGGGAAGAAGGCCUUCGGGUUGUAAACCACUUUCAAUUGGGAAGAAGAGAUGAGGUUUAAUACACUUCUGAUUUGACGGUACCUUUAGAAGAAGCACCGGCUAAUUUCGUGCCAGCAGCCGCGGUAAUACGAAAGGUGCAAGCGUUGUUCGGAUUUACUGGGCGUAAAGAGAGUGUAGGUGGUUUAUUAAGUCGGAUGUGAAAUCCCGGGGCUCAACCUCGGAACUGCAUUCGAUACUGAUAGGCUAGAGUUUGGGAGGGGUAAGCGGAAUUCCGUGUGUAGCAGUGAAAUGCGUAGAUAUACGGAGGAACACCUGAGGCGAAGGCGGCUUACUGGACCAAUACUGACACUGAGACUCGAAAGCGUGGGUAGCAAACAGGAUUAGAUACCCUGGUAGUCCACGCCCUAAACGAUGUCAACUAGCCGUUGCGGGUAUCGACCCCUGCAGUGGCGAAGCUAACGCGAUAAGUUGACCGCCUGGGGAGUACG
rnacentral:rRNA from 1 species